rfam:Gossypium hirsutum cultivar TM-1 chromosome 17, whole genome shotgun sequence
UGUUAAAAUAUCUCAUCAAUUUGUACUAUUAAAAAUUGGAGACAACGACACAUGGCGUGACACGAAUACCUCAUGCUGACGUACAAAUAAAGAUUUUUAAUAGUAGAAAUGGAUGAAAUUUUUAACA